AUUGAACGCUGGCGGCAGGCCUAACACAUGCAAGUCGAACGAGUGGCGGACGGGUGAGUAAUGUCUUGGAAACUGCCUGAUGGAGGGGGCUAACUGCUGGAAACGGUAGAUACUACCGCAUACCAUCAGAUGUGCCCAGAUGGGAUUAGCUAGUGGGUGGGGUAACGGCUCACCAAGGCGACGAUCCCUAGCUGGUCUGAGAGGAUGACCAGCCACACUGGAACUGAGACACGGUCCAGACUCCUACGGGAGGCAGCAGUGGGGAAUAUUGCACAAUGGGCGCAAGCCUGAUACAGCCAUGCCGCGUGUAUGAAGAAGGCCUUCGGGUUGUAAAGUACUUUCAGCGGGGAGGCGUUACCCGCAGAAGAAGCACCGGCUAACUCCGUGCCAGCAGCCGCGGUAAUUC
rnacentral:rRNA from 1 species